rnacentral:misc_RNA from 1 species
GUGAGUCAUCGAAUCUUUGAACGCACAUUGCGCCCCUUGGUAUUCCAUGGGGCAUGCCUGUUCGAGCGUCAUCUACACCCUCAAGCUCUGCUUGGUGUUGGGCGUCUGUCCCGCCUCUGCGCGUGGACUCGCCCCAAAUUCAUUGGCAGCGGUCCUUGCCUCCUCUCGCGCAGCACAUUGCGCUUCUCGAGGUGCGCGGCCCGCGUCCACGAAGCAACAUUUACCGUCUUUGACCUCGGAUCAGGUAGGGAUACCCGCUGAACUUAAGCAUAUCAAUAAGCGGAGGA